UACGUAGGCAGCGAGCGUUGUUCGGAGUUACUGGGCGUAAAGGGUGUGUAGGCGGUUGUUUAAGUUUGGUGUGAAAUCUCCCCGGCUCAACUGGGAGGGUGCGCCGAAUACUGAAUGACUUCGAGUGCGGGAGAGGAGAGUGGAAUUCCUGGUGUAGCGGUGAAAUGCGCAGAUAUCAGGAAGAACACCCGUGGCUAAGGCGGCUCUCUAGUACGGUACUGACGCUGAGACGCGAAAGCGUGGGGAGCGAACAGG
rnacentral:rRNA from 1 species